GAUGAACGCUGGCGGCGUGCCUAAUACAUGCAAGUCGAGCGAACGGACGAGAAGCUUGCUUCUCUGAUGUUAGCGGCGGACGGGUGAGUAGCACGUGGAUAACCUACCUAUAAGACUGGGAUAACUUCGGGAAACCGUAGCUAAUACCGGAUAAUAUUUUGAACCGCAUGGUUCAAAAGUGAAAGACGGUCUUGCUGUCACUUAUAGAUGGAUCCGAGCUGCAUUAGCUAGUUGGUAAGGUAACGGCUUACCAAGGCAACGAUGCAUAGCCGACCUGAGAGGGUGAUCGGCCACACUGGAACUGAGACACGGUCCAGACUCCUACGGGAGGCAGCAGUAGGGAAUCUUCCGCAAUGGGCGAAAGCCUGACGGAGCAACGCCGCGUGAGUGAUGAAGGUCUUCGGAUCGUAAAACUCUGUUAUUAGGGAAGAACAUAUGUGUAAGUAACUGUGCACAUCUUGACGGUACCUAAUCAGAAAGCCACGGCUAACUACGUG
rnacentral:rRNA from 1 species